UCGGUUGAUCCUGCCGGACCUGACUGCUAUCGGAUUGAUACUAAGCCAUGCGAGUCAUUGUAGCAAUACAAGGCAGACGGCUCAGUAACGCGUAGUCAACCUAACCUAUGGACGGGAAUAACCUCGGGAAACUGAGAAUAAUGCCCGAUAGAACACUAUACCUGGAAUGGUUUGUGUUCCAAAUGAUUUAUCGCCGUAGGAUGGGACUGCGGCCUAUCAGUUUGUUGGUGAGGUAAUGGCCCACCAAGACUAUUACAGGUACGGGCUCUGAGAGGAGUAGCCCGGAGAUGGGUACUGAGACACGGACCCAGGCCCUAUGGGGCGCAGCAGGCGAGAAAACUUUGCAAUGUGCGAAAGCACGACAAGGUUAAUCCGAGUGAUUUGUGCUAAACGAAUCUUUUGUUAGUCCUAGAAACACUAACGAAUAAGGGGUGGGCAAGUUCUGGUGUCAGCCGCCGCGGUAAAACCAGCACCUCAAGUGGUCAGGAUGAUUAUUGGGCCUAAAGCAUCCGUGCCUGUCUGGUACAUUCGUGGGUAAAUCAACCAGCUCAACUGGUUGAAUUCUGCGAGCACGGCCAGACUUGGGACCGGGAGAGGUGUGGGGUACUCUCAGGGUAGGGGUAAAAUCCUGUCAUCCUGAGAGGACCACCUGUUGCGAAGGCGCCACACUAGAACGGAUCCGACGGUCAGGGACGAAGCCUAGGGGCACGAACCGGAUUAGAUACCCGGGUAGUCCUAGGUGUAAACGCUGUGGACUUGAUGUUGGGGGCGCUCCGAGCGCUUCCAGUGUCGAAGCGAAGGUGAUAAGUCCACUGCCUGGGAAGUACGGUCGCAAGGCUGAAACUUAAAGGAAUUGGCGGGGGAGCACCGCAACCUGAGGAUUGUGCGGUUUAAUUGGAUUCAACGCCGGAAAACUCACCAUAGCCGACGGACAAAUGAAGAUCAGUGUAAUGAGCUUAUCGGAUUGUUCGAGAGGUAGUGCAUGGCCGCCGUCAGUUCGUACCGCAAGGCGUUCUGUUAAGUCAGAUAACGAACGAGACCCUCAUCCCUAUUUGCUAAGGUCAGUCCGCUGAUCACAGGACUAUAGGGAGACCGCUGGCGCGAAGUCAGAGGAAGGCGAGGGCAACGGUAGGUCAGUAUGCUCCGAAUGCACUGGGCUACACGCGCAAUACAAAGGACGGGACAAUGGGCCGCAACUCCGAGGAGGCAUGUGGCUAUCUCGAAACCCGUUCGUAGUUCGGAUUGAGGGCUGUAACUCGCCCUCAUGAAGCUGGAUUAGGUAGUAAUCGCGUCUCAAAAAGGCGCGGUGAAUAUGCCCCUGCUCCUUGCACACACCGCCCGUC
rnacentral:rRNA from 1 species